GAUGCUAGACUUGCCAGCACCACGGGUGCGGCUGCCCUGCUGCGCCCAUGCUGUUGGGGCAGAGAGGAAGCGGCUAUUUCUACGCUCAGUGCUCAGAAUGGUGGGCACUUAAGAAUGGUUUGUAGCCGGACAACA
ensembl:snoRNA